CUCUUCUUGUUCUUGUUCCAGGUGGGAUUUUUCCCUGGUGAGUGCGUGGAGCUCAUCAACGGAAAAAUUCCUGAGGCCCUCAUCGAUUCAGCACCGAAGCCAGGUACGGAUGUUACAUGUGAUGGCGCGGGGAAGUCAGAGGGAGUCUUUUUCUGGGUGUGUUCCGUGUUGAAUAGCUCCUUUAUCCAUCCCACGUUAUCCUCUGUGUUGAUGAUCCUUCAUGCAUCCCACGGGGCAUACGGCUGCUGUUUUGUAGGCAGUGAGAGUGAGGGCUUGGGCAAAUGAUAGGAUCCUCGUAGAAUGGCUUGGGAUGGAAGGGACCUCAAGGAUCAUCAAGCUCCAAGCCCCGUGCCUCAGGCUGGGCUGCCAACCUCCACUUUGAAUGCCAGACUAGACCAGGCUGCCCAGGGCCCCAUCCAACGUGGCCUUGGAGUCCUCCGGGGACGGGGAAAAUCCGCUGCUGUAUGUACUUGUUGGCAAUGUUCUUCCCGCUUUUACGUGCUCUGUAGAAUGUGUGACGCUCGGCCUGGUCCCACUGAUCCCUACGUGAAAUGAACUGGUUUCUUCCUUGUGUUGUGCAGUGCCAAAGAAGCGCGGCAAGCUCAUCAGCUUCCUUCGUUCCUUCGCGAAGGCCCGCCCAAAGGAACCGAAGCAGCGGGAGAUGGCGAAGGAGAAGGAAGGGGUGUUUGGCUGUGACCUGGGAGAGCAUCUUCUCCACUCUGGCCGUGACGGUAAGAAACAGCCCGUUCCUGAGAGCUUCCUCUGUUGGGCAUGUAAAGAUGAAAGGGAGAUCACCUCUGGCAAGGGUCAGGUUGAUAGCAGUGGAGAAAGGUGAGGUGGCAGUUGAUGGCUGAAAUGUAAGCUGAGGCUAAUGCCCAUAGGAGAGCAGCCCACUUGUAUUUGCUUAAAGCAAAAGGUGUAAGCCAAUGCCACGCUAGCCUGAAAACAAAGGCAGCCUUUUGGCCCAAGAGAGUGUACUGCAUCAGUUUCUAGCUCUUCUGGACAUGACGUUUCACGCCUCCAUUGCGGUGGGAGCUGUGACGGGACUUGCAGUGUCUCUGGCUUCCCCAGAAUUACUUUCUGCAGGCUGGUUGGCAGGUCCUGGCAUUUCUGGAAAGCCAAGAACACAUCUGUGUUCAGUUUCCUCCCCGGCUCCUGCCUGUCAGAGACGUCUGUGCCGGCUUUCUUUCUCCUCUAAGGAGGAGGCAUGCAGUAGCGCGGCUGGGCUUAGUGGAUGGGAUGUGACAGGAGCAGCAGCUGAAGCAGGACUUGAAUCAGGAGCUCAGCUAACCGCUGGCACUUGUUCCAUAGUCCCCCAGGUCCUCCAGAGCUGCGCUGAGUUCAUUGAGCAGCACGGCGUGGUGCAGGGGAUCUACCGCCUGUCUGGCGUGGCGUCCAAGAUCCAGAAGCUACGGUAAGAGUGCUGCGACUGACACAGCUGUCAGUAGGGGCACGUGCCAUGCUGCGGGCGUUCCGAGGCCUGCGCUGUGGGGCAGCUGUGUGCAGGCAGCGUGCGCUCAGCGGUGGUGCGCCAGGCUUGUGUCUGUUUGAUAGGAACACGGGGCGUUGAGUAGACUUGCUGGGGCAGGAAGUUCUCCUUCAGUCCUUGAGAGCAUUGGAAGGCUGUGGGGGACUGCGGUGUCAGCUCUCAUUCCCGUUUCCUCUUGUUGGCAGAGCCCUUUGGAGCAGCCCGCACUCGUCCUUGCUGCUCUGGGCUCCUGGCAUGUGACUGUGGAGUAGGCAGCCAGUUGUCAGAGCGUUUCUUUUCUCCUGUGAAUCAGGAACCCCUUCCUUUUCUUGACUCUGUCGUGUAUUGCUUUGGACUUGUCUUCCUCUUUCUCAAAGCCCAAUGUUUUUGUGUCCUCCUCUCCAGCCAUGAAUUUGAGUCUGAGCAGAUUCCGGAGCUAAGCGUCCGUGACGUUCACAGCGUGAGCUCCCUGUGCAAGAUGUACUUCAGGGAGCUCCCGACCCCUCUGCUGACCGAGCAGCUGUAUGGCAAGUUCUCGGUAAGCACAAGGCAAUGGUUUUCAUGUCCCUCUUCCCUGGGCCUCUUG
ensembl:lncRNA